GUGGGGAAUAUUGCACAAUGGGGGGAACCCUGAUGCAGCGACGCCGCGUGAGUGAAGAAGUAUUUCGGUAUGUAAAGCUCUAUCAGCAGGGAAGAUAAUGACGGUACCUGACUAAGAAGCCCCGGCUAACUACGUGCCAGCAGCCGCGGUAAUACGUAGGGGGCAAGCGUUAUCCGGAUUUACUGGGUGUAAAGGGAGCGUAGGUGGCAGGGCAAGUCAGAUGUGAAAUCCCGGGGCUCAACCCCGGUACUGCAUUUGAAACUGUCCAGCUGGAGUGCAGGAGAGGUAAGCGGAAUUCCUAGUGUAGCGGUGAAAUGCGUAGAUAUUAGGAGGAACACCAGUGGCGAAGGCGGCUUACUGGACUGUAACUGACGUUGAGGCUCGAAAGCGUGGGGAGCAAACAGG
rnacentral:rRNA from 1 species